rnacentral:rRNA from 1 species
GAGUUUGAUCAUGGCUCAGAUUGAACGCUGGCGGCGUGCCUAACACAUGCAAGUCGAGGCGGUAACAGGCGUAGCAAUACGUGCUGACGAGCGGCGAACGGGUGAGCAAUGCUUCGGAAUCGUGCCCAAUGAUGGGGAAUAACCCAGUCGAAAGAUUGGGCUAAUACCCGCAUACGCCCUUCGGGGAAAGCGGGGGAUCGCAAGACCUCGCGUCGAUGGAUGAGCCGAAGUCGGAUUAGCUAGUUGGUAGGGUAACGGCCUACCAAGGCGACGAUCCGUAGCUGGUCUGAGAGGACGACCAGCCACACUGGGACUGAGACACGGCCCAGACUCCUACGGGAGGCAGCAGUGGGGAAUAUUGGACAAUGGGGGCAACCCUGAUCCAGCGACGCCGCGUGUGUGAAGAAGGCCUGC